rnacentral:rRNA from 1 species
AGAGUUUGAUCCUGGCUCAGGAUGAACGCUGGCGGUCUGCUUAACACAUGCAAGUCGAACGGAACUCUUCGGAGUUCAGUGGCGGACGGGUGAGUAACGCGUGAGAAUCUGCCAAAAGGACUGGGACAACCACUGGAAACGGUGGCUAAUACCGGAUGAGCCGCAACGUAAAAGAGGAAACUCGCCUUUUGAGGAGCUCGCGUCUGAUUAGCUAGUUGGUAGGGUAAAAGCUUACCAAGGCAUCGAUCAGUAGCUGGUCUGAGAGGAUGACCAGCCACACUGGGACUGAGACACGGCCCAGACUCCUACGGGAGGCAGCAGUGGGGAAUUUUCCGCAAUGGGCGAAAGCCUGACGGAGCAAGACCGCGUGAGGGAAGAAGGCUCUUGGGUCGUAAACCUCUUUUGUCAGGGAAGAACACAAUGACGGUACCUGAAGAAUCAGCAUCGGCUAACUCCGUGCCAGCAGCCGCGGUAAUACGGAGGAUGCAAGCGUUAUCCGGAAUUAUUGGGCGUAAAGCGUCCGUAGGUGGUUUUGCAAGUCGGCUGUCAAAGCACAGGGCUUAACCCUGUAAAGGCAGUGGAAACUACAAGACUCGAGUGCAGUAGGGGCAGAGGGAAUUCCCAGUGUAGCGGUGAAAUGCGUAGAGAUUGGGAAGAACACCCGUGGCGAAAGCGCUCUGCUGGACUGCAACUGACACUCAGGGACGAAAGCUAGGGGAGCGAAUGGGAUUAGAUACCCUAGUAGUCC